rnacentral:rRNA from 1 species
UACAGGGGGGGCAAGCGUUGUUCGGAAUUACUGGGCGUAAAGGGUUCGUAGGUGGCCACUUAAGUCAGACGUGAAAUCCCUCAGCUUAACUGGGGAACUGCGUCUGAUACUGAGUGGCUUGAGUGCAGGAGAGGAAUGCGGAAUUCCAGGUGUAGCGGUGAAAUGCGUAGAUAUCAGGAGGAACACCGAUGGCGAAGGCAGAUCUCUGGGCCGUAACUGACGCUGAGGAGCGAAAGCAUGGGGAGCGAACAGG